rnacentral:piRNA from 1 species
UGUAAAUAACAUGAACCAAGAUAAUUAGGGA